GACGAACGCUGGCGGCGUGCCUAAUACAUGCAAGUAGAACGCUGAAGGAGGAGCUUGCUUCUCCGGAUGAGUUGCGAACGGGUGAGUAACGCGUAGGUAACCUGCCUGGUAGCGGGGGAUAACUAUUGGAAACGAUAGCUAAUACCGCAUAACAGUAGAUGUUGCAUGACAUUUGCUUAAAAGGUGCAAUUGCAUCACUACCAGAUGGACCUGCGUUGUAUUAGCUAGUUGGUGGGGUAACGGCUCACCAAGGCGACGAUACAUAGCCGACCUGAGAGGGUGAUCGGCCACACUGGGACUGAGACACGGCCCAGACUCCUACGGGAGGCAGCAGUAGGGAAUCUUCGGCAAUGGACGGAAGUCUGACCGAGCAACGCCGCGUGAGUGAAGAAGGUUUUCGGAUCGUAAAGCUCUGUUGUAAGAGAAGAACGAGUGUGAGAGUGGAAAGCUCACACUGUGA
rnacentral:rRNA from 1 species